rnacentral:rRNA from 1 species
AAACUUUCAACAACGGAUCUCUUGGUUCUGGCAUCGAUGAAGAACGCAGCGAAAUGCGAUACGUCAUGCGAAUUGCAGAAGGACGCGAAUCAUCGAAUUUUUGAACGCACAUUGCGCCCUUUGGUGCCUACAAUUCCAAAGAGCAUGCCAGUUCGAGCGUCAGUA